rnacentral:rRNA from 1 species
AUAUCGGAACGUACCCUAGAGUGGGGGAUAACGUAGCGAAAGUUACGCUAAUACCGCAUACGAUCUAAGGAUGAAAGUGGGGGAUCGCAAGACCUCAUGCUCGUGGAGCGGCCGAUAUCUGAUUAGCUAGUUGGUAGGGUAAAAGCCUACCAAGGCAUCGAUCAGUAGCUGGUCUGAGAGGACGACCAGCCACACUGGAACUGAGACACGGUCCAGACUCCUACGGGAGGCAGCAGUGGGGAAUUUUGGAUAUUGGGCGAAAGCCUGAUCCAGCAAUGCCGCGUGAGUGAAGAAGGCCUUCGGGUUGUAAAGCUCUUUUGUCAGGGAAGAAACGGUGAGAGCUAAUAUCUCUUGCUAAUGACGCUACCUGAAGAAUAAGCACCGGCAAACUACGUGCCAGCAGCCGCGGUAAUACGUAGGGUGCAAGCGUUAAUCGGAAUUACUUGGCGUAAAGCGUGCGCAGGCGGUUUUGUAAGUCUGAUGUGAAAUCCCCGGGCUCAACCUGGGAAUUGCAUUGGAGACUGCAAGGCUAGAAUCUGGCAGAGGGGGGUAGAAUUCCACGUGUAGCAGUGAAAUGCGUAGAUAUGUGGAGGAACACCGAUGGCGAAGGCAGCCCCCUGGGUCAAGAUUGACGCUCAUGCCGAAAGCGUGGGGAGCAAACAGGAUUAGAUACCCUGG